GCUUAUUUUCCUCCUUUUCCUCCACUGCGUCUAUCUCUCUCCAACCCAAAACCACCGCCACCCAAUCACGAACCAGCAGCGUCGAUGCCAUCUCCGGCGAAGUCCACAGCUCCGAACUCCACCACUGCUUCGAUAAAAAUCAACAACCGCAAGUUCCGUAAACAAAAUCAUCAAAUCUCGACAAUUUCAGUGACAUUUCUUCCUCUUCUGCCAUUUUGUAUAUAUGUUUAAUAUAUUGGUUUUACUGUUUUAUUCCAACAUCUAUGCUCAUAUUUUUCUCAUGUUUGGGUAACAAUUAUGUCAUCUAUUUUAGCUUCUUUUUGAUUUUGCUCUUGUU
rnacentral:lncRNA from 1 species